rnacentral:tRNA from 1 species
GGCGGAUGUAACCAAGUGGAUCAAGGUAGU